rnacentral:rRNA from 1 species
UACGUAGGGGGCAAGCGUUGUCCGGAAUCAUUGGGCGUAAAGAGCGUGUAGGCGGCCCGAUAAGUCCGCCGUGAAAGCCCAGGGCUCAACCCUGGGAUGCCGGUGGAUACUGUCGGGCUAGAGUUCGGAAGAGGCAAGUGGAAUUCCUGGUGUAGCGGUGAAAUGCGCAGAUAUCAGGAGGAACACCGAUGGCGAAGGCAGGUCUCUGGGCCAUAACUGACGCUGAGAAGCGAAAGCAUGGGGAGCGAACAGG